rnacentral:rRNA from 1 species
UGGGGAAUAUUGGACAAUGGGGGCAACCCUGAUCCAGCAAUGCCGCGUGUGUGAAGAAGGUUUUCGGAUUGUAAAGCGCUUUCGACGGGGACGAUGAUGACGGUACCCGUAGAAGAAGCCCCGGCUAACUUCGUGCCAGCAGCCGCGGUAAUACGAAGGGGGCUAGCGUUGCUCGGAAUGACUGGGCGUAAAGGGCGUGUAGGCGGUUUGUACAGUCAGAUGUGAAAUCCCCGGGCUUAACCUGGGAGCUGCAUUUGAUACGUGCAGACUAGAGUGUGAGAGAGGGUUGUGGAAUUCCCAGUGUAGAGGUGAAAUUCCGUAGAUAUUGGGAAGAACACCGGUGGCGAAGGCGGCAACCUGGCUCAUAACUGACGCUGAGGCGCGAAAGCGUGGGGAGCAAACAGGAUUAGA